rnacentral:rRNA from 1 species
GGACGGGUGAGUAACGCGUGGGAAUAUGCCCUUUGGUACGGAAUAGCCUCGGGAAACUGAGAGUAAUACCGUAUGUGCCCUUCGGGGGAAAGAUUUAUCGCCAAAGGAUUAGCCCGCGUUGGAUUAGGUAGUUGGUGGGGUAAUGGCCUACCAAGCCUACGAUCCAUAGCUGGUUUGAGAGGAUGAUCAGCCACACUGGGACUGAGACACGGCCCAGACUCCUACGGGAGGCAGCAGUGGGGAAUCUUAGACAAUGGGGGAAACCCUGAUCUAGCCAUGCCGCGUGAGUGAUGAAGGCCUUAGGGUUGUAAAGCUCUUUCAGCUGGGAAGAUAAUGACGGUACCAGCAGAAGAAGCCCCGGCUAACUCCGUGCCGGCAGCCGCGGUAAUACGGAGGGGGCUAGCGUUGUUCGGAAUUACUGGGCGUAAAGCGCACGUAGGCGGACUGGAAAGUUGGAGGUGAAAUCCCAGGGCUCAACCUUGGAACUGCCUUCAAAACUAUCAGUCUGGAGUUCGAGAGAGGUGAGUGGAAUUGCGAGUGUAGAGGUGAAAUUCGUAGAUAUUCGCAGGAACACCAGUGGCGAAGGCGGCUCACUGGCUCGAUACUGACGCUGAGGUGCGAAAGUGUGGGGAGCAAACAGGAUUAGAUACCCUGGUAGUCCACACCGUAAACGAUGAAUGCCAGUCGUCGGGUUGCAUGCAAUUCGGUGACACACCUAACGGAUUAAGCAUUCCGCCUGGGGAGUACGGUCGCAAGAUUAAAACUCAAAGGAAUUGACGGGGGCCCGCACAAGCGAUGGAGCAUGUGGUUUAAUUCGAAGCAACGCGCAGAACCUUACCAACCCUUGACAU